rfam:Suillus luteus TH-Slu-Lm8-n1 unplaced genomic scaffold CY34scaffold_230, whole genome shotgun sequence.
GGGCAUUUAGCGCAGUGGUAGCGCGUAUGCUUUGCAUACUAGCAUGUAUAAGGUCCAGAGUUCAAUCCUCUGAAUGUCCA